GUUCAUCAGGAAGCCACUAAGCAUGUGUGCUUUAUUGCUGCUUCAUUCAUGAACAUGAGGAUUAUUGAUGGUUCAAAUGUGACUUUACCCAAUCACACACAAAUUCUAGUUAAAUUGUGUGGGAAUAUCAGGCUNNNNNNNNNNNNNNNNNNNNNNNNNNNNNNNNNNNNNNNNNNNNNNNNNNNNNNNNNNNNNNNNNNNNNCUUCCUUGAAUGAACGAAGCAUCUCCUCCAAAUGAUGGAGCUUGUCUGCCAUUCCUAGUUUCAUGCGAUUCAUGCCUUCCUGAAGGCCACUGAGACUUGCCUCCAGUGGUUCAAUCCGUUCCUUGUUGGUGGCCAUUCCCCCGCUCUAAUACCACUUGAUAGAGGUCCCAAUCAAAAUGGUAAUUUAUAACAAAGAAUAAUUCUCUUAGGGUGAGAACUGAACCACAAUUUAAAUGAAAUUUUUAUUGAUGAUGUUUUAAUGUCAGCUACAUGAGUUUAAAUAGGCUGGUUGAGGGCAACAGACUCCUAAUCUUAAGGCCCACGUACAGCAAAAUCAAAACUAACAGCUAUCAACUUCAACAAACUUAUUCUAACUGAAAAACAAAUAUAAACGUUGCAACUCUUACUGGAUCAGAUUUCCUUGGACCGAGUCUUGGAUUUCCACAUUUUACAUGUAGUUGUUUCGGCCUUGAACUCAAAUUUUUACGUAGUUGCAUGAAACCCAGUAUGUGCUUGCAUGGCCAACCUUUGCAUGCAUGGCCACCCUUUCCCACGUACCUGCAUGCAUGCAAAGCUUCAUCCAUCUUAGGCCAAAAAAUCCUGGAACCUAGGAUUCUUCCUAGGGGCUCUACUGGACCUUCUUGGUUCAUCAGGAAGCCACUAAGCAUGUGUGCUUUAUUGCUGCUUCAUUCAUGAACAUGAGGAUUAUUGAUGGUUCAAAUGUGACUUUACCCAAUCACACACAAAUUCUAGUUAAAUUGUGUGGGAAUAUCAGGCUGAGUCCAAAUAUUUUGCUGCAUGAUGUGUUAUUUGUACCAAAAUUCCAGCUGAACUUACUGUCAGUUAGUCCAUUAACUGCUGAAUCACAAGUUUCAUCAAGUUUCUCUCAUGAUAGCUUCAUUAUUCAAGAUGCCAAAACCAAGAAGAUGAUUGGUAGGGGUGGUCAAAUGCAAAAUUUGUAUGUUCUAGAUACCAGAAUUCUGAAUUCCAUUUCUAACGUAUUUGUUAAUACUGUGUCUAUCCAUGUAUGGCACAACAGACUUAGGCAUCUUUCAUUCAAAAAGGCUAGACUGGUUGAAGGAACAAUUAUUGUGUGAUGUUACAAAAUUUAAGAGACAUAUGCCUUGUUAUGUUUGUCCACUUGCUAAACAGUGGAGAUUGCCUUUUGAAUCGAAUAAUAGACUGUCAAAUAAUCCCUUUGAUCUCAUACAUUGUGAUGUGUGGGGACCUUACCAUGUUACUUCACACUCAGGAUACAAUUAUUUCUUGAUAUUGGUGGAUGAUUGUUCAAGGUUUACAUGGGUCUAUUUGUUGAAGCACAAAUCAGAUGCCAAGAUUGUUAUUUCCAGAUUUUUCAACAUGAUUGAUACCCAAUUCAAUGCAAAAAUAAAGACAUUCAGAUUUGACAAUGCUUAUGAAUUAGCCUUUAUAGUUUAUUUUGCUGAAAAUGGAGUAAUGCAUCAGUUUUGUUGUGUGGAUAGACCACAACAAAACUCCGUCGUUGAGCGCAAACAUCAACAUUUGUUAAAUGUGGCUAGGUCUCUGUACUUCUAAUCACGAAUCCCCAUCAGUUUCUGGUCUAAAUGUGUUUUGACAGCCACAUUCUUGAUAAAUAGAACUCCGUCUUCUGUGUUGAAGCACAAAAUGCCAUAUGAAGUUCUAUAUGGAAGACCUGUAGAUUAUUCCUCACUUAAAGUUUUUAGAUGUCUAGCUUUUGCAUCCAAUCUAACUACACAAAGAAAUAAAUUCCAGCCACGAGCUAGGCUAUGUGUGUUCUUGGGAUAUCCAUCUGGAGUUAAAGGUUACAAACUCUAUGAUGUUGAGUCAAAACAUUUCUUUGUAUCACAUGAUGUUGUGUUUCACGAAAAAAUCUUUCCUUUUCAUACAGUUAUGGCAAAUGAUCAACUGAUACAUCCGUUCCCUGACUUAGUCUUACCAAAUCCUUUUUUACACCUUCAUCAAGACUCACAUGCAUCCUCAACUCAGUAUAACUUACCUCCUAUUCCUUCAGCUAAAAGUCAUAAUUUGCAUCAAGAGUUAUUCUCUACUUCACCAUCCCUUGAUACAAUGUCUGCACCUGACAGUCCUGAUAAAAAUGGUAUUCCACAUACUAACAUUAGUCACACAUGUCAACCUACUACUAUCACUAAUUUGAGACGUUCACAAAGAGCUGCUAGACCACCACAAUACCUUAGAGAUUUUCAUUGCAACUCCUUUCUCAACAAGAUAACUCCCAUCUUCAUUCACUCGAUCAUAUUAGCCAAUUUAUUUCCUAUAAUCAUUUAUCCCAAAACCACCGGCAAUUUGUAUUGAACGUGUACUCUCAAUUUGAGCCUCAACUCUUUCACCAGGCGGUUAAAUAUGCACAAUGGCGUGAAGCCAUGAAAGCUGAAUUGGAGGCUAUGGAAGCCAAUCACACUUGGUCAGUAGUUCCUUUACCAGUUGGUAAACAUGUUGUUGGAUGCAGGUGGAUCUUCAAGGUAAAACAUAAUUCUAAUGGGUCUAUUAAAAGGCACAAAGCAAGUCUUAUAGCUAAAGUUUAUACACAACAAGAGGGCCUUGAGUACUUUGAUACUUUUUUCCCAGUAGCAAAGAUUGUCACUGUCAAAGUAUUGUUAGCUCUUGUAGCCUCUCAAUGGUGGCACUUGUUCCAAAUGGAUGUAAAUAACGCCUUCUUGAACGGUGAUACGUUCAAUAAAGUUUACAUGGAUCUCCCGCCUAGUUAUGAGGUUCUCAAUGCUGUCAAACAAGGGGAGAAACUGGUUUGCAAAUUGCGAAAGUUAAUUUAUGGCCUCAAGCAAGUGUCAAGGCUGUGGAAUUCUAAAUUAACCCAGGCACUGGUCCACUGUGGUUUCAAUCAAUCAAAGGCUGAUUAUUCCCUAUUCACUAAAGGUUCUGGGAAUGACUUUGUGGCAUUUCUUGUGUAUAUAGAUGACAUUGUCAUCACUGGACCAAACAUUCAAGUCAUUGAUUCUUUAAAGAAGUUCUCAAAUUCUCAGUUCAAACUCAAGGAUUUAAGGAAGUUGAAGUACUUCUUGGGCAUAGAAGUGGCUCGUUCUAACUCUGAGAUUGUCAUAUCACAAAGAAAUUAUGCCCUAGAGUUGCUUGAGGAUUCAGAUUACCUGGACUGCAAAUUAACAAAUACUCCUAUGGAUCCAAAGGUUUCCUCAAGUAUUCAUGACGGAGACCUUCUGCCCGAUGCAUUUUCUUAUCGCAGGUUGGUUGGAAAAUAGAUUUACCUGACAAUAUCACGACCAGAUAUUAUUUUUGUUGUCUACAAACUGAGCCAAUUUUUGGCAUAGCCUCCACUAUCUCAUCUCAAGGCAGCUCACCAUCUUCUUCGGUAUUUAGAGGGUAGUCCAGGUCUGGGACUAUUCUUUCUGUUCACAAAAUAUUUUCUUUCAAUUUAAAUCACUACAAGUGUAUGGUUCAUUAACAAGUAAUAAAGUAGAUCAAUUGAGUCCGAAUAUCGUCCCACAGAGAUUGAUUAGUUUAAUUUUAUCUAACUUGGCCUUAACCGAAACUGAUUUGUCAAACGGGAAUUGUAAUAACUUAAAUUAACCUUACUUGGACUAAAUAUGCAAAUAUGUAUGAUUUGAAUGAACUAAAAUGCGAAGUGAAUGUGUUGAUUGCAAGUUGGUGUACUCAAUCGAUGAAUAUAAAAGUGCACUAGGAUCAUGAAUCCCCAAGCAAUGCUUACUUACACACUUUGACAACACGAUGACAUUUUGAAGAAUCAAUACUCCUAAAUCUAUCCAACACUCUCUUUCGAGAUGAAUUGAACCUAUUCUCAUACACCACCAGCCUAUAUCUCUAUGACGGAUGCAAAUAUAUGAGAAUACUUGUAGUUUUGUGAGUACUUAAAGAUUCACGCAAAGCAUAGGGGUAUAUUUCUAUCCCCCUAUCGAUUCUUACGAUGACUUAUACCUUGUCGAAUUUAUUCGUCUUUUUUCGAAUAGAUGAAACAAACCACCAAAACUCACAUAAUUACGAGCUCAUAAUCAUGGAAGCAAUUAAAUGCAUAUAAAUCAUUCAAAACAAUUAAUACGUGUUUUAGUGUCAAAAUACGGAACAAUGAAUUAAAUAUCACAUUACAAGAUUCACUGAUCUCCUAGUAUAGAUUUUUCUAGCCUAACAUGAUGGGAAGAAAAACAUAACAACAAGAAUCAAGAAAAGACAUCACCCAAUCGCCCUUUGAUUUGAAAUCUUGAAUCUUGGAAUGAAUCCUCUCGUUCUUGCCUUCUUUUUGCUCUUCAAAUCCUCCCAAAAUAAUGUAUAAUACGUGGUGUCUGUUUUUGGACGUCCCUAGCGCUUUAAAAGACUCCCAAGAUUUGUUUCCAUAAGAGUUUUAAUCAGAAAAGGAAAUCAGAAAAUUUUCGCCGCGAUUGGCCUGGGCGACAUUUUCUUCUCG
rnacentral:lncRNA from 1 species